UGGUGGAGUGAUUUGUCUGGUUAAUUCCGAUAACGAACGAGACUCUGGCCUGCUAAAUAGACGGGCGAUCCCUUCGUGGGUCGACCCGAUUUGCUUCUUAGAGGGACAAGUGGCGUUCCUAGCCACGCGAAAUUGAGCAAUAACA
rnacentral:rRNA from 1 species